GAUGAGCAGGAUGGCGGCGUCGAAGGCCUCGAUCUCUUUCUGGCCGCUUUCGUGCGUCUUGAUGCAGAUGGUCCGUCCGCUGCGCCAGUGGUCCCGCUCACCUUUAAACCCUUCCCGCAGCCAGAGCGUGGCCCAGGGAAGACAAAAGAUGAGACACCCCUGCUUUGAAACAACCUCAUGAGGUGUGAGGUCCAGACAGGGGACUUCAUCUCUCUGAGCUGCCAUCUUCUCUCUAUAAAG